UGCCCGGUAGUAUAAUGGUAGUAUCUCAGAUUCUGGCUCUGAUGGUCUUGGUUCGAAUCCAGGCCGGGUAA
rnacentral:tRNA from 1 species